UACGUAGGGUGCAAGCGUUGUUCGAAAUCACUGGGCGUAAAGCGCGUGUAGGCGGUUUGUUAAGUCUAAUGUGAAAGCCCGGAGCUUAACUCCGGAAGUGCAUCGGAUACUGGCAAACUAGAGGACAGAAGAGGGAAGUGGAAUUCCUGGUGUAGGGGUGAAAUCCGUAGAUAUCAGGAGGAACAUCAGUGGCGAAGGCGGCUUCCUGGUCUGUUUCUGACGCUCAGACGCGAAAGCAUGGGGAGCAAAC
rnacentral:rRNA from 1 species